GAUGAACGCUGGCGGCGUGCUUAACACAUGCAAGUCGAACGAAGCACCUGAGAACGAUUCUUCGGAUGAAGUCUCUUGUGACUGAGUGGCGGACGGGUGAGUAACGCGUGGGUAACCUGCCUCACACAGGGGGAUAACAGUUGGAAACGACCGCUAAUACCGCAUAACCCGCUGGUGCCGCAUGGCACUGACGGAAAAGAUUUAUCGGUGUGAGAGGGACCCGCGUCUGAUUAGCCAGUUGGCAGGGUAACGGCCUACCAAAGCGACGAUCAGUAGCCGGCCUGAGAGGGUGAACGGCCACAUUGGGACUGAGACACGGCCCAG
rnacentral:rRNA from 1 species